AUGAACGCUGGCGGCGUGCCUAAUACAUGCAAGUCGAGCGAACAGACGAGGAGCUUGCUCCUCUGACGUUAGCGGCGGACGGGUGAGUAACACGUGGAUAACCUACCUAUAAGACUGGGAUAACUUCGGGAAACCGGAGCUAAUACCGGAUAAUAUAUUGAACCGCAUGGUUCAAUAGUGAAAGACGGUUUUGCUGUCACUUAUAGAUGGAUCCGCGCCGCAUUAGCUAGUUGGUAAGGUAACGGCUUACCAAGGCAACGAUGCGUAGCCGACCUGAGAGGGUGAUCGGCAACACUGGAACGGAGACACGGUCCAGACUCCUACGGGAGGCAGCAGUAGGGAAUCGUCCGCAAUGGGCGAAAGCCUGACGGAGCAACGCCGCGUGAGUGAUGAAGGUCUUCGGAUCGUAAAACUCUGUUAUUAGGGAAGAACAAAUGUGUAAGUAACUAUGCACGUCUUGACGGUACCUAAUCAGAAAGCCACGGCUAACUAC
rnacentral:rRNA from 1 species